rnacentral:tRNA from 1 species
GUCCGCGUAGCUCAGUGGUAGAGCAAUCGACUUUUAAUUGAUUGGCCGUGGGUUCGAGUCCCACCGCGGACA